CCACGUACCCCACCCCUAAAGUCGAUUUGACUUAUCUUUAUUUGCUGCAUCUGAAGUCCAGCAACUCACUUUCCUCUUUCUCUACUCCUUUCUCCCCUUUCUUUGUUCUUCUUUCCUCUUCCCUUCUUACACGGCAACAUCUCUCUCGUCCUUUCUUACCAAAAAUUCUAGUUUCUUUAAAGAAGAAAUUAAACAAUUAGCCUUAAGGUUUCAUCUUCAAAGUGUGUCGGUGUUACCAGUAUCCAAGUCAAAACUCCUUCGACUUUAGGCUCUUAGUUCCUCUGCUUUCAGUUAGCAGGUUUUAUUUUGGAGCAGAGGGAGCCUUAGUCGAGUUUGGAAGGAGCUGGUUUUAGUUUUAUAUGUAUAGAUCCUAAACUAUCAUUCUGACGUCUAGCGUUAUAGUUAUUGUGUAUUCUAGGAUCAAAUGAAAGUUGUGUACCUGAAAGUAUUAAAAAAUGUAUUAUGUAAAAGUAUGGAAAUUAGAUGACUGGUGGAUUAUGUUAUAUUUUGAGUAUGGUGUAGAUGCUCUGACUAUCAAGUGAAAAA